GAUGAACGCUGGCGGCGUGCCUAAUACAUGCAAGUCGAGCGAACGGACGAGAAGCUUGCUUUUCUGAUGUUAGCGGCGGACGGGUGAGUAACACGUGGAUAACCUACCUAUAAGACUGGGAUAACUUCGGGAAACCGGAGCUAAUACCGGAUAAUAUUUUGAACCGCAUGGUUCAAAAGUGAAAGACGGUCCUGCUGUCACUUAUAGAUGGAUCCGCGCUGCAUUAGCUAGUUGGUAAGGUAACGGCUUACCAAGGCAACGAUGCAUAGCCGACCUGAGAGGGUGAUCGGCCACACUGGAACUGAGACACGGUCCAGACUCCUACGGGAGGCAGUAGUAGGGAAUCUUCCGCAAUGGGCGAAAGCCUGACGGAGCAACGCCGCGUGAGUGAUGAAGGUCUUCGGAUCGUAAAACUCUGUUAUUAGGGAAGAACAUAUGUGUAAGUAACUGUGCACAUCUUGACGGUACCUAAUCAGAAAGCCACGGCUAACUACGUG
rnacentral:rRNA from 1 species